UUACCCUUCACCAUUUUUGGCAAUUACAAAAUAUACCCAUGUACAAAUUUCUCUCUCAAAUUAGACACACGAUCUCUGCUCCUCUCUCUCUCUCUCUCUCCCCUCGUACAUGCUGCUCUUCCACAUUGCUCGCUCGCUCUUCUCUUUGACGUUGCUCUCUCACUCUUCUUUCUCACACCCAACUCUCUUUCAUAAAGUAUGGCAUAGGUGGUGAGGCAUCAAUAGAAGCGGACGUGUACAGUUAUGGUAUAUUACUACUGGAGAUGUUCUUAGGAAAGAGACCCAUUGAUGACAUGUUUAAAGAUGGUCUCAAUCUCCACAAUUUUGCUAAGAUGGCACUGCCUGAAAAGCUUGUUCAAAUUGUUGAUCCAAUCCUUCUACCAAGAGAAGUUAAUGAAGCUCCAACAGCAGUUGUGGUAGCUAGGGAUUAUAAUAAUGGCAAUGAAAUUCAAGAAGACGUGGGAGCUGAAGGUAUUUCAAACUUGUACCAAAUGGAUCCCAGUGUGCAUAAAUGCUUAGUAUCAAUCCUUGAAACUGGAGUUGCAUGUUCAAUGGAGUCACCAAAAGACAGAAUCAAGAUUAAGGAAGUUACCAAAGAACUACAUUUGAUCAAAAGUGCUUUUCUUGGUUUUGCUGUACGCAGAUGUGAAAUUAGGAGAAUCCAAGUUUAAGAGCAAGAAAUUAUUUGAAGAGGUCACUGAAAGUCUGAAACUUCUUUCAUGUUCCCUUUGAGCAUAUAUAGGUGUGCUAGUUCAAUCUCCUUUGCCAAAAUGUUUAAGAAAUGAUUUCCUUAUAUUUUCUUCUUUGGGAUAUGGCAAUCCUACUUGUGUAUGCAUAUCGCCAAUUUUUGACAGUACAAGCAUAUUGAACACUUCUACUACAGGUUCUAGUAUAGUGUGUAUGUAUUUUGUUUUGUAUUGAAAAUCAAUCCUAUUGCAAAAAAACCCUUUUGUAUUGGGAAUAUCAA